CGCGCGCAUGCGCCGAAUCCCGCAAGGGAACCGGGGAACCACCACCUUUGGGGUGAAUCGGGCCAGAUGUGGCCCGUAGGAGACCUUCCUGCUCCGAACCCGUCAGCUAACCCGGUAGGCGGAGAAGGAAGGAAAG
rnacentral:sRNA from 2 species